GGAAGAUUCCCCGCCCCCACUUCUAGGCUUGGUUGAACCGUGCAGAUACCUUCUCGAAACAAAAGAUUUUCCUACCUGCUUAUACUUGGUAACCGAGGGAAUUUCUAAGACUUCUUGCUCAUUUCUGAGUAUUGUCUUUAUAUCCUGACACUAUGAAUGCUACUUGGAUGCCUCUUAAGGGUCUCUUCUGCAGGGUCCCCAUGAAUUGUGGCUGAAGUUGUGCACAAACAAGUAUCUCCAGUGACAGGAGUGCCUUCUGAGGCAGCCAUUGCAUCUUCAUCUGCUGACACUCUGCUAGGCUGACUUCUGUAGUUUUCACCACUGAUCUUCAGUCCACCUCACAGAGCUCUAUAAAACGCUUAAAUCCUCUUUACAUCAUAGACUUUCAGCUACUUGAAGAUAGCCAUCAGCCGCUACGUGACUCUUUUCUCCAGGAUCUCCCUAAUACUAUGAACGCGGCAGAGAUAACGGACAAGCUCGGCCUCCAUUCCCUCCGCUACAGAAACUGGCACAUUCAGGCUACUUGUGCCACUACUGGACAUGGGC
rnacentral:lncRNA from 10 species